AGCUUUGCACAGUGGCAGUAUUGUAGCCAAUGAGGUUUAUCUGAGGCACGAUUAUUGCUAAUUAAAAGCAAAUGUGAAUAUAAUUCUUAAUUUUAUCACUAAUUAAGUUUUAAUAAGAUGGGAUAAAAACUGUUGAUU
rnacentral:snRNA from 1 species